AAUGGACUCAAAACAAGAAAUCCACAGCUCAAAACCCUGUUGGCGGUUGGUGGCUUGACCUUUAGCCCGCAAAAAUUCAGUACAAUGGUGGCAAC